rnacentral:rRNA from 1 species
UACAGAGGUCUCAAGCGUUGUUCGGAUUCAUUGGGCGUAAAGGGUGCGUAGGUGGCGUCGUAAGUCAGGUGUGAAAUUUCGGAGCUUAACUCCGAAACUGCAUUUGAUACUGCGGUGCUUGAGGACUGGAGAGGAGACUGGAAUUUACGGUGUAGCAGUGAAAUGCGUAGAGAUCGUAAGGGAAGACCAGGUGGCGAAGGCGGGUCUCUGGA